UGGGGAAUAUUGCGCAAUGGGGGAAACCCUGACGCAGCGACGCCGCGUGCGGGAUGAAGGCCUUCGGGUUGUAAACCGCUUUUGAUUGGGAGCAAGCUUUCGGGUGAGUGUACCUUUCGAAUAAGCGCCGGCUAACUACGUGCCAGCAGCCGCGGUAAUACGUAGGGCGCAAGCGUUAUCCGGAAUUAUUGGGCGUAAAGCGAGCGCAGGCGGUCAAUUAAGUCUGAUGUGAAAGCCCCCGGCUCAACCGGGGAGGGUCAUUGGAAACUGUUUAACUUGAGUGCAGAAGGGGAGAGUGGAAUUCCAUGUGUAGCGGUGAAAUGCGUAGAUAUAUGGAGGAACACCGGUGGCGAAAGCGGCUCUCUGGUCUGUAACUGACGCUGAGGCUCGAAAGCGUGGGGAGCGAACAGG
rnacentral:rRNA from 1 species